AGGAGGGUUCCCUCCUGUCUGUCCCACUCGGGUGGGGCUGGCGUUUUAGCCUUGCUGGUGGGUUCGGGUCUGCUUCCCCCUCAUCACCCCCUUCUCAGUGGUCUCAUUUUGAGACUGAAGUUGGGUGAUUGCUCUUUUUCUCAGAGUGUUUGGGUGCAGCAGGCCGCGGAGGGGCACUGAGGUAAUCCGGCCUCAACCAGCAUUCCCAGGACCCGAGGCCCCUCUGACCCUGAGCAGGCUGCAGGCUGCCCCACGGACAGCAUCCUUCAGCACCACAAAGCGCACGGCUGAGCUGUGCAGUGCUAACUGAAGGGAUCCCACGAAUGUCAUGCAACUCAGUUCUCUGCUGGCUCAGGAAGGUCCCACUAACAAGCACUUUGGUGGUCGACACUACCUGUUUGUGAUGUGAGAAUGCCAGGUAAGCACAGCAGGGGGCUUCCCACGGUGGGUUCAACCCAG
rnacentral:lncRNA from 1 species